rnacentral:lncRNA from 1 species
GCUAAUAUCUUCUUCCUCAGAUUGUCUGGGAUCCAACUCUGCACAGAUGGGUUAACAAAACUGAGCCCAAUGCUGAGAACAAGUGUGUACAACCACCUCCACGAAUGGGGACAUAUGGAUAUCAGGAGAACACUGGCAGUGUCCCCAAAGGACAGGUCUAUGGGGCAGCAGAUACCCUACAAUGCAUUACAAUGAUGAGACCAACUCAAAGCCUUGGGCCUGGACUGCUUCCUAGACAGCUCUCUGGCUUGCUCCCUCCUUCACACUUUGACCUCAUGGCACCAAUGGUUGUACCACCUGACACUCUACCCUACUGAGGUAUGUCUUUGGAAAAUCCUUCCAAAUUGU